UGACAUGUUUAGUAGUCUGUAUACUUAACCCUUAGAUUUUCUUGAAAAAAUACCAUAUUACAUCAAAAUUGAUUUUCUUGACAUAAAUGUUCCGGAACAGAUGCCAUCGAAUUAUCAAGCAAUUUCAUACAGGAAAUGAGUGGACAAUCUUAUACGGUAUGUUUGCCAAAAAAUGAAAAUGUAUGAAUUUAGUUUUUAUUGUAUGUCAAUAUUUAGAACAUUGCUAUUUUAGUCAAUAAAUGCUUGAUGUUUGGAUUCAUAUUUUAAUAUACAAUCACAUAUCGUUUUUUUAUGUUUUCAGAUAAAACCAUGCAUUGAAUAACCGUGCGACUAUGAAGAACACGGAUGUUGACCGGGGA
rnacentral:lncRNA from 1 species